AUGGUCAGGUGUUGAAGGUUCACCAGUCUUCUGAGGUCCUUGGAAUGUGUUAGCACCUGUGGAGAGACAGACAGAUAAGACACUUCCCUAAAAUCUUUCCUGCCUCUGUGCUAGGCAUCCUUGGGAUGUACGGAUGCCUGCUCGGGAAGGUUCGUUAGAAUACCACACUGUGUAACCCCAUUCCCGCCUCUACCCGCUGAACUUCUUGCUCAAACUGUACCUUGAGCAAAAAUGUAGCCUCUUCCUCCCCACAUCCAUUCCUCAGCUUUACUCUCAGCCUCUGGAGUCUCUCUUGGCUCUAGAUCUAGUUAGUUGGCUCUGGUUUGGUUGACAUGGUCUCUCCCUCUCACCCCAUGGGCACUGCCUGGACUCUUGUGGUCCCCCCAUUGGCUGACACAUUCGCGGUCAAAAAACGUCAACUCCUCCAAUCGCGUUUCGCUUCCUCUCCCCGGAGACCCCUCGGCGAGGAGGAGCUGGAGGAAAGGAAACCCUUGUGUUCCCGCAACACUCCAGCUCCAUUCCAAAUGUGACAAUGUGAGAGACUGAGGCAGACUCCUGGCAGAACUGUUCAGGUGGAGAGGAGGAUAAGGCUGGAAGAGGACUGGGAGGGAAACCGUGAAACUUCCCUUCUGGUGACGGAGUCUGGUCUGAGUGGAGGGAGGCAUCCGGCCCCCGUGGUCCACCCACAUUGGGCCUCCCUCUUUGGACACAUGUCUGGGAGCAGAUGAGGGUGAUUCUUUUGGCAGAAAAUGGUCUCUCCUCGCAGGUCCUGACAGGGGAGAGCGAGUCUGCUGGAUUCUGGGAGGGGUUCUGUUUAGGGACAGGGUGUGAAGGAAAACACACCUCUAUCAGGUGCGCGCCUUAAUUCAAGGAAGAAACAAGUGGACAGGGACAGCUGUGUCUCCGGUUCUGACCACAAGAGCGGGAGACAGGAGGUUACCAGGGAGUGAAGAGACGGCUGAGGUUGCCAGCACCGUUUGGCUCAGGGUGGCACCAAGGAUCUGGACUGAUUCCCGGUCAUGGGAAACUGAGACCCGCCCACCUUCCCAGCUGAAGGCUAGGGAUUCAGUCCUAGAGAGAGGCGUGGGAAGAGAGGACAAGGGCGUGAGGAGACUAGAGAUGCCCACGUCCCACGAGGGAACCGAGUUUACAGGUGCAAGGGGGAGGCCUCAGGGUUGGUCCGAUCCCCCUUCCCUUGACAGCACUGGCUUCUCAGUGAUCGGGAGCCCCGUUUUCCACAGCAUAGAGCCAGAUUGCCCCCAGAGGAGUUAAAUGCUCCCAGAUUGUCACUACCGGGAGGCGGGGCCAACAAAAGGAGGUUAGGUUAUGGCAGCAUGCCCUUGGAGAGACUGCUAAGACACCGGCUUCCAUCCUCUUUCCUGUUCUUGACCAAUCAGUGAGUGGCUUCACUCUGUCACGCAGUCCCAUCUCGAAGGGCUGCAACAGGCUCUGAGCCCCAGGGCCAUUUUUUUUCCAUGGGCGCAGCCAUCAAAAACUAUGACCCAUAACAAAACUUUCGUCUUCAUAGUUGGUAUCUCAGGCAUUCUGUUAUGGUUACAGAAAGUUAGCACGGUAAAGCCCGGCACUUGAUUUCCCCACGGUUUUGCUUCCAGGCCUCACCAGGCUGUGAGAAGCUGUCAGUCCCCCCAGUUUUCCACCUGGGACACUGGAAUCCCAUGGAGGAGGCGACGCCCCCUUAGCAGUAGCAAUGGCAACUUCUCCUCCUCCUGCAUUUCCUCCCUCGUGUUAGGGUUACAGUUGUGCAGCAACCACAGAGCAAACCCUUCCUCCCUCUCAGAGAUCCUCGCUGUGAAAAGUCCAUCUUAGCAGGAAUCUUCUACAUGCUGUAUUAUUCGAACAUACUCUCUCCAGCCUGACUCAGGGCUUUCGAGCAUGCGUGCCUGCGCCCCCCGCUCUCCGACUUGUCACCGUCUGGCUCAGACGUGCCUGCGCACCCUCCAGUCUCUCCCAGCAUCCUGCCCUCCACCCCAGAGCUCCGAGGGCGCUCCCUGACCACACCCGUCACUACUACAGCACCCUGCCUUCUGUCCUGAUGCAAAUCUCCAGAUGGGGACAGAACCUCACUGAGCCGUCAUGAGGGUCAAACCAUGCCUGGUGCAGAGUAGGUUGGAUCCCAGCCACUGGCCCAGGCUGCCAGCAUCCUUCCUGCUGUACCAUUGACAGGCUGCUUCACGGCCAUCCACGCCGCUCGCCGUCAUUCGUUUCUGCGAGUGAGUGCACCCAACCCCGCCGAUACCGAGAAAUAAGACCCUUCGUGAUUUCUACCCCCCCAUAUAGUGGGGACCCCUUUACCUCUCGGCAUCUUACCUGCCUCCCAAGAAGCUGGAAGGAAGAGGAGGCAGCAGAUGAAGCCAAAAGUGGAACAGAAGCCACUGGUCAGCUGAGCCAUGUCAGAGCUGGGAGGCUGCUGAAGGACCACGGGCCGGGGGCCCUGCAUCUUAUAAGGGGUCAGGUUUGACGUCAUGGGGGCUGAGGCUGUUCUGAGGUAAGCCUUAAGCAAAUGGAGCUGCCCCACCCACAGGGGCGCCCUGAUAAUGGGAGACCGCAGCUGUGUCAUAGCGCUAGGUAUACCUGGGUUCCACCAAAGGGCCGGGAUCUGGAGGACAUGGAAACGAUCUGGGUGGGGCAGCCAGCCUGCCUCCUUAUCCAGCCCCCGCAGAAGGAAUGGCUUGUAUUGGGGUGGCCUGCAGGCUCUGAGCCAAAGCUCAUGUUCUAGAAGGUUUGGACAGGGCGCAGGACGGGUCCCGGCUCUGGGAGGAGGCACACACUAACUAACCCUCCCGUCUCUCUGUCGUCAUCCAGCCCCACACCCCUUACUCACACACGGCCACGCUUUCUGCCCUGGGUGGAGUGUCCCCAAGACCGGGUGAAAGAGCAGACGAGGGGGCAGCCCUCACAGGGUCCGCUGCACACUGACACAGCUGCUUUCAGACAGUGACGGGGACCCCUGAGACUGACUGUCAUCAUUUGUUCAGCCUUUGGGGACAUCUGUCCUUCCCAUCCAUCCCUCCCCUGCCAUCCAAGCCCAGCGGCUGCAUCUACCCCUGCUCGGAAAUGUGCACCUCUUACUUUUAGACGUUUCAACACCCCGCCCCCACUUUCUCCUCAUUGAAAGGUCUCAGUUGUGGGGCUCCAGGGGGAAUCACCUGCACAUCUCCUUCCGUUAACCCUGCACCUGAGACCUCACUCACUCCCUACCUAAAGCAAACAUCAGCUUAGAGACCAGCCCCACGGGGGCUCUUAGAGAGAGGAGCCCCCACCCCUCCCUAAAGCCGUUCUACUUGAAGGCCUCCUACGCCGUGGGCACUCCUGGCAAUCAAUGCCUUUGCCCCAUCACACCCAUAACCCCCGACAAUGCCUGACAUGCAGGAGACAGCCAGUCGGUGGCUCCUUUGCCAGCGUCAGGGUUGUGACUCGGUGGAGAGCGCUUGCUUGACAUGCACAAGGCCGUGGGGCUCAAACCCCAACACCCUAAACAUUUGCGAGUCUCCUGGUGGGUUGGAAGCAGGGCUGUUGCUCCCCGAGGGAAGUGAGCAGCAGAGGGUGAUGGAGAGCCCUGAGGUCUUUCAGGUAGGAGGCCCCGCAGCUGGGGCCCCUGGGGCUCAUGAGGGCUAUAGUAUUAGCAUGACUGGCGCUGCGCCCUUAGGCAGGGCUGGAUCGGGGAAAGGGGAGAAGCAGCCACCUGCCCAUGAGCGCAAUUAAUGGGAGGUUAAUGAGCCUCUGCAGCUGUGCCUGAGCCUGGUGGCUCAGAACGGGGCAGGCUGUGACACGGACAGCGCAGCCCGCAGGAUGUGGAAAGGGAGUCCCUGAGGCUCCGUCGGGACUCCUCCCCCUCCACGGAUCCUCUCUGCCAUUCCUCCUCUAAGGUCCCCAGCACGCUGUGAGAAGGGUCAGUUCUGCCUCCCCUGGGGGGAUGCGGCAAUUCUGGGAGCUAUCCUUGUGAGAUGCAGUAUCCAGUAUCGGUAUCUAGCAGGAGGCGGCUAGAAAGGCUGCUGGCCCUUUGUGUGGCUCGGAACACCUUCCAGAUUGAAGAACCAACCGUCCAGCCUGAUGUGUCAGUGGUGCCAAGGGCAAGGAUUCCUGUUUAGAAUAAGCUUCAGCCAGCGCUGCUGAACAAACACCCUCUUCCCACUUUUGGCCACAACUCACAGACCACCCAGGUGUCUAGAGAAGAGGAACGUGGUCAUCUUGGUAUCGUGCCUUGGUUGACAUGGAACUCACUAUGAAGGCCAGGCUGACCUCAAAUUCGUACAUGGCUGCCCUUCUGCCUCUGCUGCUUGGGUGCUGAGGUUACAGGAAGAAACUACCAUGCCUGGCCCAAGAUGGCAUCUCACAGUCACAGAGGUGACUUGGAGUCGGAAGCAGAGUCACUGGAGCCUGGUGACUCAUGGUGGCCAACCAUCUCUGUGUACAUUAAACAUCUCACCUGUGAGAACUGAUGAGGUCAGCAAUGCCACCUUGGUUUUUUUCCAGAUGAGGGCAAACGGCUCUCAGCCAUCUCCGCCCUACCCCUCAUGAGCAUUGCUGACGGUCAGCCUGAUGGUGGCGAUGAGAGAGGUCACCGCUGCACCCCAGACUCUCCUCCCUCAGGACUGGCAUGUCAGUGCGAUGAAAAAUGGGUAGGAUAUCAGGACUGGAGAGAUGACUCAGAGGCUAAGAGCACUGGCUGCUCUUCUAGAGUUCCUGAGUUCAGUUCUCAGUAACCUCAUGGUGGCUCACAGCCAUCUGUAGUGAGAUCUGGCGCCCUC